CAGCCGCCGCGGUAAUACCGGCGGCCCGAGUGGCGGCUACUAUUAUUGGGCCUAAAGCGUCCGUAGCCGGGCUGGUAAGUCCUCCGGGAAAUCUGGUCGCUUAAAGAUCAGACUUCCGGAGGAUACUGCUGGCCUAGGGAACGGGAGAGGCCGAGGGGAUUCCCGGGGUAGGGGUGAAAUCCUGUAAUCCCGGGAGGACCACCUGUGGCGAAGGCGCUCGGCUGGAACGGGUCCGACGGUGAGGGACGAAGGCCAGGGGAGCGAACCGGAUUAGAUACCCGGGUAGUCCUGGCGGUAAACGAUGCGGACUAGGUGUCGGGCAAGCUAAGGGCUUGUCCGGUGCCGGAGGGAAACCGUUAAGUCCGCCGCCUGGGGAGUACGGCCGCAAGGCUGAAACUUAAAGGAAUUGGCGGG
rnacentral:rRNA from 1 species